CUGGACCUGACAACUCCACCCCCACCUGCCACCACCUGGACAAAGCAGAAACUAUAUUCGACAAAUGAGGCAAGAAAAAGAGUCCAUGGUUGACUGGUCGUAAGGUGAAGGCGAAGGCUGUGUCCAGGGGAGCUGGAACGAGGAACCAGAAACCUUUCAAAAUGAGACUGUUUCACAGCCAUGAUGAUCUGACUUCCUGCUGGGCAAGUCUUGUGGUGCGACCUAUGAUGUUGUUGCUGAAGGAGACAGGCCAACCUGAAGCCCCUGGAGGAACAGGAGGUCCUUGCUGUGAUGUGGAGACCUCAUCCUGCGACUCUGACCCUGAAAUCAAUACCUUCAUUUAUGGUCCACCACCUUCAAUCAAUUCUGCCCCCCAUCUCUUCUCUACGAUGGACUGCCUCUGACUGGACACAUAACAGAGAGACUCAACUGGACAGGAGGAGCCAUAACCUCAACACCAGCACAGUGUCACCUGUCAUCUCUCUCCAGGGACCACGCUACAUCCAGGUUAGUUAGCCUUGGCCUGGACAUUCCCUGACCACAUGUCAGCCUCAACCCCUCACACCCCACUGGACUACAGCGAGGGACACCUCAACAUGCCCACCAACUACCAGCAUCACUGCAAACAGCAGAUAACACUGAGUAACUAUAUGAAUUUGCUGGUGUGCUUGAAGAAUAGCCGGAGCAUCCUUCUCUUCCUCUUCUGACUGAUUGGCUGUCAUUUUUCUGCACCUUGCUUUG